UGUGGUGUAGCUCAGUGGUAGAGCCUUUGCCUUGCACUCACAAAGCCCUGGGUUCUAUCCCCAGCCCAGCAA
rnacentral:tRNA from 1 species